rnacentral:rRNA from 1 species
UGGGGAAUAUUGCACAAUGGGCGCAAGCCUGAUGCAGCCAUGCCGCGUGUGUGAAGAAGGCCUUCGGGUUGUAAAGCACUUUCAGCGGGGAGGAAGGCGUUAAGGUUAAUAACCUUGGCGAUUGACGUUACCCGCAGAAGAAGCACCGGCUAACUCCGUGCCAGCAGCCGCGGUAAUACGGAGGGUGCAAGCGUUAAUCGGAAUUACUGGGCGUAAAGCGCACGCAGGCGGUCUGUCAAGUCGGAUGUGAAAUCCCCGGGCUCAACCUGGGAACUGCAUUCUAAACUGGCAGGCUAGAGUCUUGUAGAGGGGGGUAGAAUUCCAGGUGUAGCGGUGAAAUGCGUAGAGAUCUGGAGGAAUACCGGUGGCGAAGGCGGCCCCCUGGACAAAGCCUGACGCUCAGGUGCGAAAGCGUGGGGAGCAAACAGG